UUGCCAGCCCGCUCAAGAAACUCAAAUGAAUUGACGGGGCCCGCACAAGCGGUGGAGCAUGUGGUUUAAUUCGAUGAUACGCGAGGAACCUUACCUGGGCUCAAAUGUAUGUUGACGUAUUCUGAAAGGGAUACUUCUUCGGACAAUAUACAAGGUGCUGCAUGGUUGUCGUCAGCUCGUGCCGUGAGGUGUCGGGUUAAGUCCCAUAACGAGCGCAACCCCUACCUUUAGUUGCCAUCAGGUUAAGCUGGGGACUCUAAAGGAACUGCCUACGCAAGUAGUGAGGAAGGCGGGGAUGACGUCAAAUCAGCACGGCCCUUACGUCCAGGGCUACACACGUGCUACAAUGGCCGAUACAGAGGGCAGCUACCUGGUGACAGGAUGCAAAUCUCCAAAGUCGGUCUCAGUUCGGAUCGGAGUCUGCAACCCGACUCCGUGAAGUUGGAUUCGCUAGUAAUCGCGCAUCAGCCAUGGCGCGGUGAAUACGUUCCCGGGCCUU
rnacentral:rRNA from 1 species